rnacentral:rRNA from 1 species
UACGUAGGGGGCUAGCGUUGUCCGGAAUCAUUGGGCGUAAAGAGCGUGUAGGCGGUCCGGUAAGUCCGCUGUGAAAGUCGGGGGCUCAACCCUCGGAUGCCGGUGGAUACUGUCGGACUAGAGUACGGAAGAGGCGAGUGGAAUUCCUGGUGUAGCGGUGAAAUGCGCAGAUAUCAGGAGGAACACCGAUUGCGAAGGCAGCUCGCUGGGACGUUACUGACGCUGAGACGCGAAAGCGUGGGGAGCAAACAGG